rnacentral:rRNA from 1 species
UGCCUUCGGGAACUCUGAGACAGGUGCUGCAUGGCUGUCGUCAGCUCGUGUUGUGAAAUGUUGGGUUAAGUCCCGCAACGAGCGCAACCCUUAUCCUUUGUUGCCAGCGGUUAGGCCGGGAACUCAAAGGAGACUGCCAGUGAUAAACUGGAGGAAGGUGGGGAUGACGUCAAGUCAUCAUGGCCCUUACGAGUAGGGCUACACACGUGCUACAAUGGCGCAUACAAAGAGAAGCGACCUCGCGAGAGCAAGCGGACCUCAUAAAGUGCGUCGUAGUCCGGAUUGGAGUCUGCAACUCGACUCCAUGAAGUCGGAAUCGCUAGUAAUCGUAGAUCAGAAUGCUACGGUGAAUACGUUCCCGGGUCUUGUACACACCG